AGGUGCUGGAAGCUGAAUGGCUGCCUGAGUUGAUAACAAAUCAGCAUCUCUAGGAGCCAAGAGGUGUGCAACGCCUCUUGUAUGAAGGGCUUCCAAAGUGAUGUUAAAUUUCAGCAGUAUUCACGAAGGCAAUGACCCAGGACUUCCUUCCCUGCUCUGAAAGGGAGUCUGCUCCUUAAUGGAAACCCAUGCUACGAAGGGAUUUUCCUGAAUUGUAACACAUGUUUUCUACCAAACUCCUAUUCUCUUGGGUGGGACAGAGGAAGAUGUUGGCAAGAUGGGCAGAUGGAUGGCAAGCUGCCACUCAGCCUGGAGCUUUGCAGUCCACAGCUACCUGGACCCAGAGGGCUACACGUGGCAUGAUUUGAAGCCUA